GAUGAAGAACGCAGCGAAAUGCGAUAAGUAAUGUGAAUUGCAGAAUUCAGUGAAUCAUCGAAUCUUUGAACGCACAUUGCGCCCGCCAGUAUUCUGGCGGGCAUGCCUGUUCGUGCGUCAUUACAACCCUCAGGCCCCCGGGCCUGGCGUUGGGGAUCGGCGGAAGCCCCCUGCGGGCACAACGCCGUCCCCCAAAUACAGUGGCGGUCCCGCCGCAGCUUCCAUUGCGUAGUAGCUAACACCUCGCAACUGGAGAGCGGCGCGGCCACGCCGUAAAACACCCAACUUCUGAAUGUUGACCUCGAAUCAGGUAGGAAUACCCGCCGAACUUAAGCAUAUCAAUAAGCGGAGGA
rnacentral:misc_RNA from 1 species